rnacentral:lncRNA from 1 species
CCUAAUCCAAUGUGCUAGCUAUCAACAUUGUUCCUUCAUAUGUUGAUUUCAAAUGUGUGCCAUCAACUACAACUAUUGAUCGACAAUAUUUUCAUCCUCUAAUACUUGUAUCAAGUGCUAUAAAUGAAUAUAAAAACAAUUUUCAUCGGGUUUUUUUAUAAUUUACAAUAGUCCCUGAAUAUGUUGUUUCCAAUAUAUAUAAAUACAUUAGUAUUUUUUCAUAUGAUUCUGCAGGGUCACCUCUCAAUGUCUUGACUGCCUUUGCUUUCCUAUCUUCAUGCUUGUAUGUAUGUUAAUGAAAUUUCAUGUGUUUGUAUCAUGUC